CCUACGGGAGACAGCAGUGAGGAAUAUUGGUCAAUGGGCGCGAGCCUGAACCAGCCAAGUAGCAUGAAGGAUGACUGCCCUACGGGUUGUAAACUUCUUUUAUAAAGGAAUAAAGUGAGGCACGUGUGCCUUUUUGUAUUUACUUUAUGAUUAAGGAUCGGCUAACUUCGUGCCAGCAGCCGCGGUAAUACGGAGGAUCCGAGCGUUUACCGGAUUUUUUGGGGUUAAAGGGAGCGUAGGUGGGUUGUUAAGUCAGUUGUGAAAGUUUGCGGCUCAACCGUGAAAUUGCAAUUGAUACUGGCAGUCUUGAGUGCAGUUGAGGUAGGCGGAAUGCGUGGUGUAGCGGUGAAAUGCUUAGAUAUCACGAAGAACUCCGAUGGCGAAGGCAGCUUACUAAACUGCCACUGACACUGAUGCUCGAAAGUGUGGGUAUCAAACAGGAUUAGAUACCCGAGUAGUC
rnacentral:rRNA from 1 species